rnacentral:rRNA from 1 species
GNAAAGUGGCGCACGGNUGAGUAACGCGUGGGUAAUCUACCCUCGAACUGGGGAUAACCCGCCGAAAGGCGGGCUAAUACCGAAUGACAGUCUUGAAAAUUUAUGUUUUCAGGAUCAAAGGUGGCCUCUACAUGUAAGCUAUUGUUUGGGGAUGAGCCCGCGUACCAUUAGCUUGUUGGUAGGGUAAUGGCCUACCAAGGCUACGAUGGUUAGCUGGUCUGAGAGGAUGAUCAGCCACACUGGAACUGACACACGGUCCAGACUCCUACGGGAGGCAGCAGUGAGGAAUUUUGCGCAAUGGGGGAAACCCUGACGCAGCAACGCCGCGUGAGUGAUGAAGGCUUUCGGGUCGUAAAGCUCUGUCAAGUGGGAAGAACCCAUAUGGUGUUAAUACCGCCAUAUGCUGACGGUACCACUGAAGGAAGCACCGGCUAACUCCGUGCCAGCAGCCGCGGUAAUACGGGGGGUGCGAGCGUUAUUCGGAAUUACUGGGCGUAAAGAGCGCGUAGGCGGUCUUUUAAGUCAGGUGUGAAAGCCCGGGGCUCAACCCCGGAAGUGCACUUGAAACUAAGAGACUUGAGUAUGGGAGAGGGAAGUGGAAUUCCUGGUGUAGCGGUGAAAUGCGUAGAUAUCAGGAGGAACAUCGG